rnacentral:rRNA from 1 species
CCAGCUCCAAGAGUGUAUAUUAAAGUUGCUGCAGUUGAAAGGCUCGUAGUCGGAAGGCGGGGCGGUGGAUGCAGAGCAGGGAGACCUGUGUCUGGAUCUGGCGCCCUUCGGGGGGGAUAUCACAGUCCCCCCCCGUUACUGUGAGGAAAUUACAGUGUUCAAGGCAGGCGUGUGCUUGGAUAGGUUAGCAUGGAAUAACGGGAUGGUCCGUUGGUUGGAGCGUACGUUGAUAGGGACAGUUGGGGGCAUUGAUAUUUGGCAGUCCCAGGUGAAAUUCUAGGAUUUGCUGAAGACGGACGGGGGCGAAAGCAUUUGCCAAGGAUGUUUUCAUUGAUCAAGAACGAAAGUUGGGGGAUCCAACACGAUUAGAUACCGUCCUAGUCCCGACAGUAAACGAUGCCGGCGGGGCGUGGGGGGGCCAAACGCGGAUCUUCCCCCCCCUGGAAAAAUCGGACCGUGUGGGUUCUGGGGGGAGUAUGGUCCCAAGGCAGACACUUGAACGAAUUGACGGAAGGGCACCACCAGGAGUGGAGCCUGCCGCUUAAUUCGACUCAAC